GGAUUCCCCUAGUAACUGCGAGUGAAGCGGGAAAAGCUCAAAUUUAAAAUCUGGCAGUCUUUGGCUGUCCGAGUUGUAAUCUAGAGAAGUAUUAUCCGCGCUGGACCGUGUACAAGUCUCCUGGAAUGGAGCGUCAUAGAGGGUGAGAAUCCCGUCUUUGACACGGACUGCCAGGGCUUUGUGAUGUGCUCUCGAAGAGUCGAGUUGUUUGGGAAUGCAGCUCAAAAUGGGUGGUAAAUUCCAUCUAAAGCUAAAUAUUGGCGAGAGACCGAUAGCGAACAAGUACCGUGAGGGAAAGAUGAAAAGAACUUUGGAAAGAGAGUUAAACAGUACGUGAAAUUGCUGAAAGGGAAACGCUUGAAGUCAGUCGCGUUGGCCAGGGAUCAACCUUGCUUUUUUGCUUGGCUUACUUUCUGGUCGAUGGGUCAGCAUCAAUUUUGACUGGUAGAAAAAGUUCAAGGGAAUGUGGCAUCUUCGGAUGUGUUAUAGCCCUUGUUCACAUAUAUCAGUUGGAAUUGAGGAACUCAGCACGCCGCAAGGCCGGGUUUUUAACCACGUACGUGCUUAGGAUGCUGGCAUAAUGGCUUUAAUCGACCCGUCUUGAAACACGGACCAAGGAGUCUAACAUGCCUGCGAGUGUUUGGGUGAAAAACCCGAGCGCAUAAUGAAAGUGAAAGUUGAGAUCCCUGUCAUGGGGAGCAUUGACGCCCGGAUCUGACCUUUUGUGACGAUUCUGCGGUAGAGCAUGUAUGUUGGGACCCGAAAGAUGGUGAACUAUGCCUGAAUAGGGUGAAGCCAGAGGAAACUCUGGUGGAGGCUCGUAGCGAUUCUGACGUGCAAAUCGAUCGUCAAAUUUGGGUAUAGGGGCGAAAGACUAAUCGAACCAUC
rnacentral:rRNA from 1 species